rnacentral:lncRNA from 1 species
UUUUACAAACAGAUGAGACACAGAGAUAGAGACAGGAAGAUGGAGGACGCUGGCGAUCCGGUUUAAGGCUCCGCCUCCGCCGGUCGCCUCAAAUCGAGGACGUUAGCGCCGUUGGCUUCAUGUAACGAGGACGAUUGGAGUCGGCGACGGCGGUUUGCAGUAGAUCUAGGGUUUUAUUGUGAUUCCAACAUAUCAAUGCUUGCAUGUCGUCUCUUUACCCAGAUCGAUGUUGGCAAAGGUCAAUGUCUAAUUGUCGUGAGCAUCGUUCACAGUCCAAGAAGGCUUCUUCAAAGAUUCAAAGGUUGAAAAACUUUAAAAGCGGCUUGCACAUGAAGAGAAUGUUCAGAAGGUUUUAGAAGGGGUCUUGACCCGAUCGUUAGGGGCUCUUCCUCACCUUCCUCCUUAUCUAUCUCUGGUGGUACAAAAUUUCAUGUUGGUGAUGACAUGUUAGAGUCGGAACAGUUGGUUAAGGAGAUUGCUGAACAUGCCAUGAAAAAGCGAGUCAGGGUUGAAAGGUUGAAGUCUUUGAAGAAAGAAAGAGCUGUUAAAGCUUCACCAGCACAUCAAUGGCCAUCACACUUCUUUUUUUCGUUGUCAUCAUUUUUCAAGGUAAACAUAUCUUAUGCAUGUGAUAUGAUGAAUAUCUGAUUCUAUUCAUUAAUCUUGAUGAUGAUUGGAUUUUUUUAGAAAUCUCUUUUGUGGAAUGAUUACGUUUUCAUAUAUUGAUAUUGAUAG